AGUGCUGUGAACAUGACCUGACCUGUACGCUGCUGCCUUUAUUGGAGUUGAAACCUCAUCACCUGGACUGGAUCCAGCUGCAAACUCAGAGGUGGAAGUGUAUGUGUUUGUUAUGGAUCUGCUGUUUUCAGGUUUUGAGUUGGUCUUCAUCAUCAUUGCAUUUACUAUCAUGUGCUUAUUUGGCCUGGCUGCUAUCUGCACACACAAUACAGAUCAUCAAGAUGACUACAUUCAAACAGAACAGAAGAUGAUGCGACAAAAGAACACCUCAAAGAAAAAACAGAGAGUCAUCACCAAAACCAAUCAAGAGCUUCCAUGAACACAAACAAACACAUUCCACACAAAUACAGUUUCCUUCCACUGGUGCUCAACGGAUAGAUAGGACUGGCUCACCAAAUGCAGAUAACCAGCGGACAAACUGAAGAUUUCUGACACUGCUGUCGACUUCAUAUAUCCUUUGAGCCUCAAGCCAGCUGAUUGGCUUGAAUGUAUGACCCCAAUAAGUAAUUAAACAGUAAAGAAAGAUAAAGACGAUUUAUUGAAAUCAAAUCCCCUCCACUUUCUUUACCUAAAUCUGCUUAUCACAUGUAAUACAAUGAUUUAAACCCUGUCUGGAGGAGCCGUCUU